AUAUUCGAAUUCUCAUUCGGUGGUAGCUCCUGGUCGGAGUAGCCUUGAGAAUCGAAGCGAUCGAAAUUAGACCGGUUUCAAUACUCGCGCUCGAGAGAAAGACAAGAAGAAUGACGACAUACGCGCGCAGUCCAGCGAGGACGAUUUUGUGGAAAGUCGAGUAGAGAGAGCGAGUGAGGCUGUUACCGCUACUACUGUCGGCUCGUACGUUCGCCUGCUCCAAUUGCGAUUUCUCGCUUACGCGUGCUAAUUAACCCUAAUUGUACGGAGGGGCGGAGGAAAGAGAAAAAAGGGGGAUACGGGGAGAGAAGGAUAGAUCGCGAUGCGAGUAGAACGGUGGGGGACGCUCUAUAACGGGCGAUUUCACCAUCUCGCGUCCCAUCGUCCCAUCGUCCCAUCGUCGCGAUCCUCGCGAUUCGAGAGCGAGAUAGCAUUCUGUCGUGCAAUAUCGUCCGCAAUUGGUCCUACACAACGCACAUGUGUGUAUCAAGCGCAGCGUGAACUCUUUUGAUUCGACGCACCACGCGGUUCCGAGGCCCGGAAUUUAUGUUUUACACAACGAGACUCAUUAGUGUUGCUCGAUGUAAUAGCAGAUAACUAAAUCAAACGAUUAAUGACGAAUAAUGAUGCGACACUCGUAAUUACGCAUACUUACACAUACCCGCCUCACUAGAUGACUGAUCAUGACUGAUCUGAUAAUAACAAUUUUUUUUCAAACUUGUGUAAUACGAAUCAAGUGUGAGAACUAAUUAAUAACAUUGAUACGAAAAAACUAAAGAUGAUAACUUCAGAGAUCAUUCUUCGGAAAUUAUCCUAUAGAUGUAGAAUUAUUAUUAUGAAAAUUACUGUGAAAACGAGCUUUACUAUGAAAUUAUUCGAAAUGAACAUGAAUUGUGUCGCGAUAUUUAAAUACAUAUUUACUUGAUUGGAUUUCCAUAUUGUAUUGUUAUGCCCGCGCGAAUCUUCCGCGGCCGAGUCUGGAGUCGAGCAGUUGCCGUUUGCAGUAGAAGCGAAACACUCUCCGGGGCAACGGUUGUUUUGUUUACGAAAAGGAGACUCUGUCAUGUUACUCGACGACGAUGAUGUACGUGGAGGCGCAAUGUGCAACGUUAAUGACGCGCCUGCUGCGCUACGACCGACUUUAUCGGGGAUGUCAGGUUGUGAUACUUGGAUCGUACAACCGUUACCGAGAGGAGAGCCAGGGGUCAAGCUUAGGCGUGCAUAUUGCUUCUUUGCACACGUCAUUUUCCUCACGAGCAAAGAUUACACGUCAUCAUCUCCAGAAAAUGCAAUCAAAACAGACACAUAAUCCGUGUCGCGAUUUGUCCAACAUUUAUCAAUCUGUCGUCUCUUGUACGUUCUUGUUCGAGAAGAUAAUACAACCUUGAUUAUAUGUAUAUAACCGUAUAUCUUUUAGUAAAUUCCUGCGAGUUAAACUGGCAGUUGACCUUCGUGAGUUAAAAGAUGACAGUGACCUUUCAUAAUAAAUAUCGUAAUAAAUAUCGAACGUGUUAUUU